AUCUCCAGGACGAGCAGCUUUAUGGCCGGCGUGAACAGCAGGCGGAACGCGGCCCCGAUGUCGCGCACUAGGGACGCCGCAUACGCAUAACAACACCGGCCGGGACACAUGGAGGACCUUGGGGGUCGGACCGUUACCGAAAGGAAGACAGCCCUGAGCCCCGAUGACCCCUUACCGGACCUGGAGGAUGUUAUCUGGCGAUAUCUUCUCACCCAUCCACCACCAGUCAUUCCCACCAGUGCUUCCUAAGACACUCCUUCAACCCCUCUGGCUAUCAGCUUGAUAAACCAAUUACAGACCUUCUCAGGCCCAACAGAGGACUGCGAGGGAUUUCUGCUGUGGUGUACCCUGGUCUUCAGCCUGAAUCCAAACCACCUCCAGUACCCCGUACCUCUUCUCCGGCUCCUUCGUACUCCUGUCCUCCGUGUGUGUCACUCCAGCUCCAGUCCCCGUGUGUCUCCAGCCUUCCGUGAGUUAUCCACUCCAGCUCCUGGUCCCGUGUGUCUCUCGUCUUCCGUGUGUGUCACUCCAGUGUCCAGUCCCGUGUGGACCGAAUCCUCCAUUCAAAGGACAGUAUACUUCCCUCCAUUAUCUAUCUACGGUCCUUGUAUUGCAAUAAACUAUAUCAUAAUCUUCUUUGUGUCGCCGGUCAGUUCUGUCCGUAACAGUAGGGGUCCUAAUAAGUAAAAGUGGCAAAAAAAAAAUUAUAAUGGAGACAAUGGACAGCCUUGUCUUGUCCAUUGUGACAGUUUGAAAGAAGAUGAGUGCUGAGUGUUUAUCUUAAUAAUUGCCAUAGGGGAAACUGUAAAUGAUACAGAUCCAGGAAAUGAAGACAGGGCCAAAACGGCUAUUAAAUAUUCCCAUCCUAGUCUAUCAAAUGCUUUUCCAGCAUUGAUAGAAAUAGCCACCAUAGGGGUAGUACGAUUGUUAGUGUAAGUGUUAGUAAGUACCUGCGUAGAUUAUCUGACAAAAGAUGGCCCUAGACCAAACCUGUUUGUUCAGAAUGAAUAAAACUAAAAGGCCACUGAUUCAAGAUUCGAGUUAAAAUUUUAGUAAUGAUCUUAUAAUCGUUAUUUAAAAGUGAGAUUGGCCACACAACACAGGAUCCUUGUCUUUAUUUUUAACUAAGGUAAUAGCUGCUAUAUAGAGGGACUUGGGAAGUUGCUUUUCUCAAAACAGGUUGAAAUCAUGGAAAGAAAAAAUGCAUUAGCUGCAAAAAAUAAUAUUUAACGAUGCAUUUAACCUAUUACUACUGUCUUUAUGUACAGCAAAACUAAUUUUUGUUUAUGUAUUCUUCAAAGUCUGUGAAACAAAAUAGGGAAUGCCUUAGUUUUUUUUUGUCUACUUAAUUGCACUAUACAGAAAAUACAAAUACAAAAUGAACAUUAGACAUCAUGCUGUUGUGCAGUAAUUAAAACAAAUAAAGUACAAGCCAAGUGUCUGGAAAUGUGACUACUUGAAGAAAGUCUGCUUCUGAAAUACUUCCAGUGAACAUUUGAACCUUGAUGACAAUGUGUCAGAACCAUGGUGAGACCGUAAGACGACACAGCCUCAUCCAGUGAACAUCUGGGGUCUGGCUGCUAUGGGAGAAAAGAAAGACAGGUGUGAGAAAGCAAGCUAGCUGAGGCAAAACAACUGUAAACAAAACUCUUUCAAAAGAAAGUUGAUUACAACUUUCCAGCACCUGUUUUAAAAUGGUUUGAUUGUAUAUCUUAAGUAUAUACAAUAUAUACAUAUAUAACUUUAAAAGCUUAGCUAAAGUAAUAGCAAGCCAUCAUUUGCAGCAGUAUACACUGAAAUAUGUCUGUAACGCUAAUAUCAAGUGUGAACACAACUUCCUAGCAUUGCUUUAGAAUGGUUCAGUAUUGGUAUAUAUUUUGAACCUAGCUAGCUAACAUUUUAAUAGUUAGCUUUCCCUCGGUUUCAAAAACAGUAACAUGUGAGACAAGGUGAGCUCAUCAAGUGGCAACAAAAAACUAUUAUUUGCUAAAAUACAGUAAUCCUUCCUCAGCGACAUUAUAGAGAGAACGUCUGAUGUCUCAUGCCAAUGUUUAUAUUUCUUUCUACAACACCUGCACAUUGUAACUAUAGUAUGGUGAAGGGUAGGGAAAGAUUGUGGUUAUGGCAAAUAAACUAUACUGUUUUGUAGUAUUGUGUAAUGUUGCUUAACUGGACCCAAGUGCAGAGAACACACCAAAUGUGUAAUUUCAGACUUCCUUUCUUUACUCAAGUCAACGCAAAACAAGACAAUCUACAGCCAGAUUAGGCAGGCAAAAAACUAACUUAACUGCCCAUAGAGAAAGGCACUGAACUAACUAGAAAAGAGGGCUGAAGUAUCACAGACAUACUGUAUGUGAUACUGUACUGUAUGUAUCAGAUUUUUCUUGAGUAAUAUUUGCUUAAAUGUGUAUAAACAGGUGAUUACACUAAUAACCAUGACAGAUGCAUGUGUUUCCUUGAUGAUUCAGUUGAUUGUACCUGAACAAGACUGGAUGCAUUAAGAGGGAAAUGAUGUGCAGCAUGUGCACAGGGCCCAGAUUUUCAUGUUACACCACGGCUGCACCUGCUUCAUCAUGUCAUCUUAUAUGAUGAAUAAUAUUCACACCAUGAUAGCAGUGUUUGCUGGCGGCAACUUUGGAAAAAACCAAAAGGCAGAUUUUCCAGACGUUUCCUGCUACUGAGAAGCUAAUGUUGACUUUAUUCUGUCUGCUCAGUGAUCACAAUCAUCACUGUACUUUCGAAAAAGCUAAUUUAGUUACAGAUUUAAAUUCCCUGUAAUGCUCAUGCUGACUGUUGGUGAAUAGAAAGACUUGCUUGAAAUGGCAAGAUUUGGCAGAUGUUUGUAGAUUUUAUAGCUAAGAAGGGAUUCAUUUAUCCUAAGACCAUAAAACUUUGAUGUUACAGCCAUAAACCUUCAGUACUUGGUAACAGCCAUUUCUGCUGAACCUUGACUUUUUUUUCCCUGAGAAUCUGCAAAGCUGCUUGGCACAUCUUGAAAGUGCAUGAAUAGAUGCUAGAGCAAUUAAAAACUGCAAGAUGAAAUCAUCCCUGCUCAAAUGUACUGCUCUAUUCCCUUGUCAAAGAAACAUGGCCUCUCCAUAGUAAUCCAGCGUUAAUAGGACGGGUUCAACCGGAGUGUCAAGAGCAGCCAAAAGCUGGGGAUUUUCAGAGCUGUCUGACAACUAACCCACUUCCAAAAAACACUCCAUAAGCAUUGGGAUAAUGAAGCUUAUACGCCAGCCAGAAAGUAUGCUGCUGUAGCACAGUGAGAAAAACAAAUAAAUACACUUAUUGCUAUGUUAUAAUUAGUGCUCGGGUUCAUGGAAAGUGUUGUUUUUUAUGUACACAAGUGUUGGGUAAGGGGAUACACUGUAAUACUCAGUGUACAACAAGCUGUUUAUACCUUGGCCUUCGAAUUAAACUGUGUGUGUGUGUGUGUGUGUACUUACCUACCUAUCCAACUGUCGACCUUGGCGUAGUUACACACUCAUCAACAAGGGACCACUAAGGCAACAGGGGACAUUUUGGAGGUCCUGCUUUAAAUUUUUUUUUUUUUUUACUUUAGCCAAGAUGGGACCAGCAGGUGUGUGAGUGUUAAAGUCCAUACUUAGCACAGUGCCCCGGCAGGCUGGAGCAGGGAUUUUAACAACUCACUCAUACAUUGUUUUUAACACUCCCCCAUAGUGUGAAUGGCUUGCAGCCCCAGGCAGUCUUUCAGACUGUAGAGUGGCUAUUAAACAGGCUACUGAGUGAAGAAACCAGUCUCUUGAAACAUGAUUUGUUAUUAUGUUUUUGUAACAAAAUAUAAAGGCUGAGCUUUAGUGGAUGUCUUAAAUUUCAAGCUCGACAUUAUUAAAAUAGGACUACCCAUAAGGCAUGAGAGUAAUAAGUACUUUAGAAUCUGAAAAAGGAAAAAAAACAAAAAACAACCAGGAUAAAAAUUGGAAUAAAAUGGUCAGCACCAAGAUCCUUUCUUUUAAAUUUCAAUUCAUCGCUAAAACAGAUUUAUUAUCAGACUUAUCAGACCUUUACCCUAAAUGGUUCAGUCCCCAAAAAUUCCCUUGACCAAUUUUUUACAAGCGCAGGACUUCAAAUAAUUUUACAAUGUACUUGUGUCCUCAAUCUAUAUUUAUAGGAAUGCAUUUUAUUUGUUGAUUCGCAUUACAGAAAAAGGUCCAGACUUGUAUUGUAUCGAGGUCCACUGUUGGCUGUGCUGAUGAUUUAACAAAAGCAUUUGACACUGUUGAUCAUGCUAUUCUCCUACAGAGUCUAAGUGAUACUGGUUUUAAUUAUAAGUCCUGUAAAUGGUUUCAGGACUACCUGUGUCAUAGACAGCAAUGUGUGAUGUUGGGAUAUGAUCAUUCUAUAUUUCUACCACUGUCAAAGGGGGUUCCACAAGGUUCAAUUUUGCAAAUACUUCACACUCACAAGAUACUAGAACAAGCCUUUGACACAUUUCAAGAUGCAUUUUUUAAAAUUGAAAUUAGUCCUGAAUGCAAUCAAGACUAAAUACAUGCUAUUUUCUAGAGCCAGAGAUAUUUUGGACAAUAGUUUGUAUAUUACCACUAUGAAUGGACAGAUUAUUGAGAGGAUUUCAGAGUACAAAUAUCUUGGGAUCUGGUUGGAUCAAAAAGUUACAUUUAAAGUUCACAUUGACACUCAAGCUAUGACAAAAAAUUGGACAUUUGUACAGAAACAGAGCAAAUUUUCCAAUGUUCAGUAGGAAGCGGAUAAUUGAGGCCAUCUUCUUUUCUGUCUUGGACUAUGAUGUAUUACCGGUGACAGUUAUUCUACUCAUCAUUGCAUCUUGUAUGAAAAGGUUGGGUGGGCAUCUCUAACAGUAAGACGUGACCAUCAUUGGUUUCUAUUUAUUUAUGAAGCCCUUAAUGUCAACUUGGUUGAUUGGUUGAUGCUCGAUGUCCCCCAUGCAAACACUAAAUUUGGGAAAACUGCUUUUGGUUUUUGUGCUGCACACACUUGGAACAUUUUACAAAACACACUAAAACUCAACACAUUUGUACCUAUGUCAAUUUAAAACCAUGAUUACAAACUACUCCACACAAAUGUAAUUGUUUAACUGUUCCGUUGCUGUCUGUUUGUUUGUUUUCUCGUUACUUAUUUUUUAUGUGUAUUUAUUCUGUUUUGUACUCUCAACAUCAUUGAAAAUGAAGUCAUGAUUCUUUGAGAUUUAAAUAAAGGUUGAAUGAAUGAUUGAAAAAGACAGCACGUAGUGAAAUUCACAUUCCAGCAUGGAUGAAUAAAGAAACAAGCAAAAUUAAUAAUACUUAUGAGGAAAAAUAAGCUCAACUAAAUAGUCUCUUGAAUCAUGAUUUGUUAUUAUGUUUUUUGUAAUAAAACAAAGGCUCAACGUUAGUGGAUUUCCUUAUUAGUUUCAAGCUACAGACUGUGUUAAAAUGAAGAGCUACCCAGAAGGCAGCAGAAUGAUUAAGUAUUUUCAAAACUAAAAAAGAAAGAAAGUAAAGAAAAACAACCAGGAUAAAGUUAGAAAUAAAAUAGUCAGUAGUAAGAUAAUUUCUUUUCAUUUCUAAUCACUAACAUUAGACCUUUUUACUAUACCUUCAAAAACGUUCAGUCCCAAAACACUCCCCUGAUGAGUUUUCACAAGCACAAGCAAUAUAUAGUUAGGACUGCAUUUUAUCUUUUGAUUCGCAUUACAGAAAAAGGUCCACACUUGUAUGGUAUGGAUUGACAGGGGUCCGCUAUGUAGCUGAAGCACAGUUUCAGCUACAUAGAGACUGAUAAUGUAACAACUGCCACAUUGAGUUAAAACACGUCAAAAUAAUAUAAUAAUGUGUUCCUCUAGAUGCAUGUAAUAUAUACAUGAUUAUUUAAUGUUAAUAGGUUGAGUAAUAUAUUUUAAAACUGACAUUAACAGUGAUACUGGCCAUAGUUUAAAUAACUAAUUAAAAGGAGGCUAAAAGGUGGCUAAAAGUAUUGAUACUAUACAAAUAUUUUUUUUCAGUUUAAUUUGAAUUUAUUUUCCUUUUGUGUUUUUAAAUAUUGUUAAAAUGCAUUUCUUUGCCUUAUUUAAAUUGAAAGGUGCUAUACAAAUACAUUUGCCCCCUCAUCCUACUGUAUUUCAAUCCAUAAUGCUUUAUGGUAUUGAUAUAUGGAAGACGUGUAAACAACAAAAAAGUCAUG